rnacentral:rRNA from 1 species
AUUGAACGCUGGCGGCAGGCCUAACACAUGCAAGUCGAACGAGUGGCGGAAGGGUGAGUAAUGUCUGGGAAACUGCAUGAUGGAGGGGGAUAACUACUGGAAACGGUAGCUAAUACCGCAUACCAUCAGAUGUGCCCAGAUGGGAUUAGCUUGUGGGUGGGGGAACUGCUCACCAAGGAGACGAUCCCUAGCUGGUCUGCGAGGAUGACCAGCCACACGGGAACGGGUCAACGGUACAGACUCUGACGGGAGGCAGCAGUGGGGAAUAUUGCACAAUGGGCGCAAGCCUGAUGCAGCCAUGCCGCGGGUAUGAAGAAGGCCUUCGGGUUGUAAAGUACUUUCAGCUGGGAGGCGUUACCCGCAGAAGAAGCACCGGCUAACUCCGUGCCAGCAGCCGCGGUAAUUC